CAGAGAACUAAAAAGACGUGGCUGACGUGCUUUGUGUCCGAUCUGCAAGUGUUUAUUCGACAUAUCAUCCCUUGGGACCCUAUGCUCCUCUAUGUUCCUCCUUUGUUGUCAAAGCCAGAGAAGACAGAGCCUGCUAUUGCUAAUUAUUACAGAUACAUCAAAGAUCAUUGUUUGGAAUACACUGUCAAGAAUGGCACCUGCCACCGUGCUAUCGGGCUA